rnacentral:rRNA from 1 species
GACGGAGGAUGCAAGUGUUAUCCGGAAUCACUGGGCGUAAAGCGUCUGUAGGUGGUUUAAUAAGUCAACUGUUAAAUCUUGAGGCUCAACCUCAAAAUCGCAGUCGAAACUAUUAGGCUAGAGUAUAGUAGGGGUAAAGGGAAUUUCCAGUGGAGCGGUGAAAUGCGUAGAGAUCGGGAAGAACAUCGGUGGCGAAGGCGCUCUACUGGACCACAACUGACACUCAGGGACGAAAGCUAGGGGAGCGAAUGGG